rnacentral:rRNA from 1 species
GAUGUGGCGGGAUGCUUUACCAUGCAAGUCGAACGGCAGCACGGGGGCAACCCUGGUGGCGAGUGGCGAACGGGUGAGUAAUACAUCGGAACGUGCCCAGUCGUGGGGGAUAACUACGCGAAAGCGUAGCUAAUACCGCAUACGAUCUACGGAUGAAAGCGGGGGAUCGCAAGACCUCGCGCGAUUGGAGCGGCCGAUGGCAGAUUAGGUAGUUGGUGAGGUAAAGGCUCACCAAGCCUGCGAUCUGUAGCUGGUCUGAGAGGACGACCAGCCACACUGGGACUGAGACACGGCCCAGACUCCUACGGGAGGCAGCAGUGGGGAAUUUUGGACAAUGGGCGCAAGCCUGAUCCAGCCAUUCCGCGUGCAGGAUGAAGGCCCUCGGGUUGUAAACUGCUUUUGUACGGAACGAAACGCGCUGAGUUAAUACCUCGGCGUAAUGACGGUACCGUAAGAAUAAGCACCGGCUAACUACGUGCCAGCAGCCGCGGUAAUACGUAGGGUGCAAGCGUUAAUCGGAAUUACUGGGCGUAAAGCGUG